rnacentral:rRNA from 1 species
GACGAACGCUGGCGGCGUGCUUAACACAUGCAAGUCGAACGGGAAGGCCCUGCUUUUGUGGGGUGCUCGAGUGGCGAACGGGUGAGUAACACGUGAGUAACCUGCCCUUGACUUUGGGAUAACUUCAGGAAACUGGGGCUAAUACCGGAUAGGAGCUCCUGCUGCAUGGUGGGGGUUGGAAAGUUUCGGCGGUUGGGGAUGGACUCGCGGCUUAUCAGCUUGUUGGUGGGGUAGUGGAUUACCAAGGCUUGGACGGGUAGCCGGCCUGAGAGGGUGACCGGACACAUUGGGCCUGAGAUACGGCCCAGACUACUACGGGAGGCAGCAGUGGGGAAUAUUGCACAAUGGGCGGAAGCCUGAUGCAGCAAAGCCGCGUGCGGGAUGACGGCCUUCGGGUUGUAAACCGCUUUCGCCUGUGACGAAGCGUGAGUGACGGUAAUGGGUAAAGAAGCACCGGCUAACUACGUG